GUCUACGGCCAUGCCACCUUGAAUACGCCCAAUCCCGUCUGAUCUCAGAAGCUAAGCAGAGUCAGGCCUGGUUAGUACUUGGAUGGGAGACCACCUAGGAAGACCAGGUGCUGUAGGCA
rnacentral:rRNA from 1 species